AUUGAACGCUGGCGGCAGGCCUAACACAUGCAAGUCGAACGAGUGGCGGACGGGUGAGUAAUGUCUGGUAAACUGCCCGUUGGAGGGGGAUAACUACUGGAAACGGUAUCUAAUACCGCAUACCAUCGGAUGUGCCCAGAUGGGAUUAGCUCGGAGGGGGGGUAACGGCUCACCUAGGCGACGCUCCCUAGCUGGGCUGAGAGGAUGACCAGCAACACUGGAACUGAGACACGGUCCAGACUCCUACGGGAGGCAGCAGGGGGGAAUAUUGCACAAUGGGCGCAAGCCUGAUGCAGCCAUGCCGCGUGUAUGAAGAAGGCCUUCGGGUUGUAAAGUACUUUCAGCGAGGAGGCGUUACUCGCAGAAGAAGCACCGGCUAACUCCGUGCCAGCAGCCGCGGUAAUAC
rnacentral:rRNA from 1 species